rnacentral:rRNA from 1 species
ACUCAAAGGAAUAGACGGGGACCCGCACAAGCAGUGGAGUAUGUGGUUUAAUUCGAAGCAACGCGAAGAACCUUACCAGGGCUUGACAUCCACAGAACCCUCAAGAGAUUGAGGGGUGCCUUCGGGAACUGUGAGACAGGUGGUGCAUGGUUGUCGUCAGCUCGUGUCGUGAGAUGUUGGGUUAAGUCCCGCAACGAGCGCAACCCUUAUCGUUAGUUGCUACCAUUAAGUUGAGCACUCUAGCGAGACUGCCGGUGACAAAUCGGAGGAAGGUGGGGACGACGUCAAAUCAUCAUGCCCCUUAUGUCCUGGGCUACACACGUACUACAAUGGCCGUAAACAACGGGAAGCAAAGCCGCGAGGUGGAGCAAAUCCUCAAACACGGCCUCAGUUCAGAUCGCAGGCUGAAACCCGCCUGCGUGAAGUCGGAAUUGCUAGUAAUCGCGAAUCAGCAUGUCGCGGUGAAUACGUUCCCGGGUCUUGCACACACCGCCCGU